ensembl:lncRNA
AGAAGCCCAAGACGUCAAAGUAAGUCUCGGUCCCCUCAACGCCCCAGGCCCUCUGAGUCACGUGCUCCUGCAGCCCGUCAAAGGAGGUCAAAAUCUAGGAGCCCUCAUAGCACAAAGUCAGAGUCAGCAUCUCCUCAACGACAUAAAAGAUCAAAGUCACGAACAUCCUCACAUAAUUCAAAGUCUGAAUCCCCAAUAUUAAGAAGAACUAAAAAGCAAAAAGGUAAACGGUCAAGAUCAGUUUCUCAGAGACGCACAUCAAGAUCAAGAUCCAUUUCCAGGGAGCGCCAGUCAACAGAUAGAAGUAUAUCCCCUACCAAAAGAGCACACUCUAAAUCUCCAACUAAAGAGGAAAAGUCCUCAAAGGAUAAGAGUUCAAAAGAAAUCUCAGAGACUAAACAGCAAGUUUUAGAUCCUGUGGAGGAAAAUUUAGAAAAAAAAGGGUCAAGUGGAUGGAAACCAGUGUCUACUGAAUGUACAUCUGUGCAAAAUCCAUCAGAUGAAGAGGUAAAAUCAUCAGAAUGUGAUACACAAAGUAAAAACAUUGAGCAAGAGCCCGAAAAUCCCUCUGAAUAUGAAGAAAGACCAAACCGAUCCAGAUCUUUGUCCUCAGAGCCAGUUCCUCAACAAGUUACUGUAGGGUCAGAUGAAGAUGAUCGCUCAGGGAGCUCACGAUCACCUUCACCGAGUAAAGUAAAAGAAUCAAAGUCCUCCAACAGAACAUCACCUGUUCAAAGAAAGCACUCCAGAUCGGCUUCGCCCACUCAGAAAAGGCGAUCCAAGUCGAAAUCUGUCAAUAGCAAGAGGAGGUCAAGAUCUCCUGUAAGAAAACGCAAGUCCAGGUCUCCCUCACAUAGUCGUAAAAAGAGGACAAAAUCUCGGUCUCCUGUUCGGAAAAGAAGAUCUAGAUCAUCCAAUCGAAGGGCAAAAUCACGAUCGAAAUCUCACACAAGAACAAAGCGCUCAAAAUCAAAAUCCCCCAAGCGGAAACGGUCAAAGUCUAGAUCGCCAGCUCGGAAAAGAAGGUCCAAAUCACGUUCCCCUGCUAGAAAGAGAAGAUCUCGUUCACGGUCAAGGGCUCGUCAGUCACGAUCCAGAAGGUCACGCUCUGUUUCACGUCGGAGAAGACCAGCAUUUCGUGGACGAUCUUUUGAUAGACGAGAUCGAUGGAAACGUGAACCAAGCCAUUCACCAAUUUUGAUUCUUCGUAAGAGGAGGUCCACCUCAAGAUCUCGACGCAGUUCUAGCAAGACGCCGCCACGUCUUACUGACCUAGAUAAAGAUCAACUUUUGGAGAUUGCGAAGGCUAAUGCUGCUGCAAUGUGCGCUAAAGCCGGAAUGCCCAUACCUGAAAGUCUCAAGCCUAAGGCAAUUCUGCAGUUACCUCUGCCAACCCCAGCUCCAGCCCCCUUGUCUUUGCCUCUGCCACUUCCUGUGCCCAAUUUACCUAUGAAUCUGCCCAUGGGUAUACCAGGUAUGCCUGCAAUGCCAAACAUGACAAUGAACGCUGCCAUGGCAAGUAUGACUGCGGCGACAAUGACUGCUGCUCUCUCCAACAUGGGUGCUCUGGCAUCUAUGCCCCCGAUGCCCCCACUUCCUACCAUUACCAACAAGCCCCCUUCAGCACCCACACCUAAUCUGGCUAGUAUUGAGGAGGUGAAGAGGAAAGUGGCUCAACAAGCUAACAGCAUAAGCAUCAAGGAGUUUACAGAGAAAUGUAAACAGAUUGCAGAGAGUAAGGAGGAGAUGAGUAUUGCACGGCCACAUGUUUCAGAUGAUGAUGAUGAUGAUGAUGAGACACGGUAACCCAUUGUCCUACUGCUGCAUCUCGUAUAUAGUCCUGAUGAUGGACACCUGUGGCUCGUAUUUGGGAUGAACUCUGCCAGAGGAUUGCAUCCAUCAUGUAAAUUAACCUUUUGUUUGCUCACAGGAAAAAGAGACUUGAGCAUCUGGACACUUGAAGCUACAUUGUUUUCAGUUAUCUUUAAAUUGUCAGUUGUUGGAAAAGCUGCAAGCUAUAGGAACCUUUUUUUUUACCUUAGACUACAAACUACCAGAUUGGACCAUUCAGUAUGUCUAAAAGUAGAACAAAGGGGGUGAAGUGUUGAACAGACAUACUACCUGCCCAGACUGACAGUGAAAUGUUUCGAUUUCAGGCUUGUUUUUACCUUCACUACAUAUGGUGCCUCUUGAUACCAUGAAGAAGGACCUCUGGUAGAUUUAAUUCAGAUUUAUAGGUGUACCUAAAAUAAUAAUAAUAAAAAAAAAACAACAACAGAUUUUGAGGUGUAG